GACGGAGGGGGCAAGCGUUGUCCGGACUCACUGGGCGUAAAGGGUGCGCAGGCGGUGCCGUGCGUCGGCGCUGAAAGCGCCCGGCUUAACCGGGCGAGGUGCGGCGAUACGACGGCACUGGAGGCAGGUAGAGGUUGGCGAAAUUCCGGGUGUAGUGGUGAAAUGCGUAGAGAUCCGGAGGAACGUCGGUGGCGUAAGCGGCCAACUGGGCCUGACCUGACGCUGAGGCACGAAAGCGUGGGGAGCGAACCGGAUUAGAUACCCGGGUAGUCCACGCCGUAAACGAUGUCGGCUCGGUGUGUGAUGCUAUUACGGUGUCGCGUGCCCAAGCUCACGCGGUAAGCCGACCGCCUGGGGACUACGGCCGCAAGGCUAAAACUCAAAGGAAUUGACGGGGGCCCGCACAAGCAGCGGAGCGUGUGGUUUAAUUCGACGCAACGCGAAGAACCUUACCCAGAUUUGACAUGCGACUGCAAGCGCACGGAAACGUGUGACCUUCGAGGGUGUCGCACAGGUGCUGCAUGGCUGUCGUCAGCUCGUGUCGUGAGAUGUUGGGUUAAGUCCCGCAACGAGCGCAACCCUCGCCGUCAGUUAUCAGUGUCUGGCGGGACUGCCGGCUGUAUGGUCGGAGGAAGGCGGGGAUGACGUCAAGUCCGCAUGGCCCGGACGUCUGGGGCGACACACACGCUACAAUGACCAGCACAGCACGCUGCAAACCCGCAAGGGGGAGCUAAUCGCCAAAGCUGGUCUCAGUGCAGAUCGGGGGCUGCAACUCGGCCCCGGAAGGCGGAGUUGCUAGUAACCGCGUAUCAAAACGGGGGCGCGGUGAAUACGUACCCGGGCC
rnacentral:rRNA from 1 species